AGGACGAACGCUGGCGGCGUGCUUAACACAUGCAAGUCGAACGGAAAGGCCCUUCGGGGUACUCGAGUGGCGAACGGGUGAGUAACACGUGGGUGAUCUGCCCCGCACUUUGGGAUAAGCCUGGGAAACUGGGUCUAAUACCGAAUAGGACCAUGGCAUGCAUGUGCUGUGGUGGAAAGCUUUUGCGGUGUGGGAUGGGCCCGCGGCCUAUCAGCUUGUUGGUGGGGUUAAGGCCUACCAAGGCGACGACGGGUAGCCGGCCUGAGAGGGUGUCCGGCCACACUGGGACUGAGAUACGGCCCAGACUCCUACGGGAGGCAGCAGUGGGGAAUAUUGCACAAUGGGCGCAAGCCUGAUGCAGCGACGCCGCGUGGGGGAUGACGGCCUUCGGGUUGUAAACCCUUCAGUAGGACGAAGCGCAAGUGACGGUACCUACAGAAGAAGCGACCGGCCAACCUACGCGCCACGCACGCCGC
rnacentral:rRNA from 1 species